rnacentral:tRNA from 4 species
UAGCUCAGCUGGAUAGAGUACCUGGCUACGAACCAGGCGGUCGGAGGUUCGAAUCCUCC